GCUAAAGGUCUUUAGCGACAGAAAGUGUCGCUGUUGGUGUUCUUGAGGCCAAGAACACUGACAAUUCAGUGUUCAAGCUUGCUUGUUUGACCGCUUGCAAUUUUUUAUUCACAAAUGCUAUGGGCCAUCUAAUGCUUCUAGAUCGUGAUACUAAUGUAAUAUUACAUUUCCCCACAAUCAGAUUGGUCAUACAACAAUUCAAUUGCCAGAUCUAAGCCGUUAAAAUCGUUGUCAGAUCUGUUCUGGGUUUUCUGGGUAACCCAGAAACCCAGUCAGCUUCGAGUUGACAUAUUGUGGCUUAAGAAUCUAAGGGUUCCGAUUGAUUUAAUGGUGAUAUAAUAGUUCAAAGUUGUAGUAUAUAUAACAGAGUACGUAUAACAUUCAUCACACCAGUUAAACUAUAUCAGAAUCAUAAUUUACAAUCCGGUCAACCCAUGUCAGAAAACCUGUUCAUCCUAUUUCUGGAAAUUCCAGAAAUGCCAAAAACAGUUCAAGUUGUCUACUUUGACCACUUGUUACGUUCGAUAUGUUCAUUGUUUGUGGGGUUUUAAGACAUGAAUCUACAGUCCACAUUACCAGCUACAACUUGAUUACCAAAACUUCAACAAAUAUUCAUCAAGGAUGUCAGAUCAGGGCCGUUCAAAAGCUGUCAGACGCUGGUUUUUAGUUUCUGGGUUGCCCAUAAAGUACCCGGUC
rnacentral:lncRNA from 1 species